AGUGAACGCUGGCGGUAGGCCUAACACAUGCAAGUCGAACGGCAGCACAGUAAGAGCUUGCUCUUACGGGUGGCGAGUGGCGGACGGGUGAGGAAUACAUCGGAAUCUACUUUUUCGUGGGGGAUAACGUAGGGAAACUUACGCUAAUACCGCAUACGACCUACGGGUGAAAGCAGGGGAUCUUCGGACCUUGCGCGAUUGAAUGAGCCGAUGUCGGAUUAGCUAGUUGGCGGGGUAAAGGCCCACCAAGGCGACGAUCCGUAGCUGGUCUGAGAGGAUGAUCAGCCACACUGGAACUGAGACACGGUCCAGACUCCUACGGGAGGCAGCCGUGGGGAAUAUUGGACAAUGGGCGCAAGCCUGAUCCAGCCAUACCGCGUGGGUUAAGAAGGCCUUCGGGUUGUAAAGCCCUUUUGUUGGGAAAGAAAAACAGCAGGUUAAUAACCCGCUGUUCUGACGGUACCCAAAGAAUAAGCACCGGCUAACUUCGUG
rnacentral:rRNA from 1 species